AGUUCGGAUUGUAGUCUGCAACCCGACUACAUGAAGCUGGAAUCGCUAGUAAUCGCGGAUCAGAAUGCCGCGGUGAAUACGUUCCCGGGUCUUGUACACACCGCCCGUCACACCAUGGGAGUCGGAAAUGCCCGAAGUCUGUGACCCAACCUUAGGGAGGGAGCAGCCGAAGGCAGGUCGGAUGACUGGGGGUGAAGUCGUAACAAGGUAGC
rnacentral:rRNA from 1 species